AAAAAUGGAGAUUAAUUGCCCUCCCUAAGAC
rnacentral:tRNA from 1 species